rnacentral:lncRNA from 1 species
UUUAGCGCGACAACUUGAGCUCUCUCACAGUCUCACUAGUUUGGGAAGCCGCAAUGGCAGCAGACAAGGCUGAAGAAGACGAGUCGGUUCCGGCGGCAGCUCCGCGUGGCCGUUACGUCAACAAGAGAAAGGUCUCAGGUACCCACCUUCAAAUUAGACCCUGAAAUUUUCUUCCUUUUAUGAUUUUGGUGAAUUGGGUUUUGGUGUGUCUUGGUUUCACAAGAGGAAGAAGAAUAUUGAACUUCUUGCAUCAGGGACUUCAUACGAGAGUCAUUUGUGUUAGAAAUAGCUGAAUUGAAUUCCAGUGUUUGAGGAAUCAGGUGAUUCCACAUUCGGCUGCUGUGGUGGUGUUGAACUAGUACUAGAAGCUGCUGACACUGCUGAAGGAGAUAGGUUCGGAGAUUUAGACUUUUAACUGUUGAACAUAUUAGACUGAGUAUCAGUGAUUGAUUUCUUAGAACUGUUUUUCACUUUCGUUAGAUUAGUUAGAGUUGUUAUCUGUGUUGUGUUGAUUUUGGGUUCUUGCUGUAAACGAGUUCAGGGAUGAAGGGUUUGGUGAUGGGAAUUUGAGGUUUGGGACUGUAGGGGUUUGGUAAAGGCUUGAAUUUGGUAACUGGGUUUAGAUCAAAAUUCUGGCUUUUAUAUGGGAACUGUGGAUUUGGUGAGAAAGAUUGAAAAUUUGAUGAUGGGUUGAAGAUUGUAGAAUAGACGAGCUAUACGACAAUCUGAAAGAUUGAACAUUCUCUAUGUGAGAAUGUUCAAUAUUUGAUGAUGGAUCCCAUAUGCCAACCGUGAAAUAUUGUAGGAAGCUUGCAGAUCGACCGGAUUGCAUAUAUUAACCGAGAAAUGUGAUAUUUUAUUCAUUUACAUUGGGACCGGUGUUUAAGAACUGUUUAGAUUCAUUACAGUCAGUUGAGCAGUAGCAUUUUUUUAUAACAAAGCUAAGAAUAUCCAACAUGCCAACCGCGAGAUAUUGUUGGGAGUCUUGGGAGUCUGACCAUGCAUAGCUCACAGAUUGUCGUAUAGCUCAAAGAGAAUGUAGUAUAACUUGAACUCCAUGUUGUGGACGAACUGUAAGAAACUGAAAAGGCGAGUGGACAUAAGCUGGGGAAAGGGUAAAUGAGUAGUGUUGUAGAAUCAUUGAGAGCGCAAUCUUUGCUUCAUUGGAAGCGAAGUUGAUUCCUGCACACAUUCUAGGUCCCAUUCCAAAGGGUGAGAAUGAACCCAUGUUAUCAUUAGUAGCUUUAGCAACCCCUUCAGAGAAUCUCUCUGGUUUGAAAAGUGCCGCUUCUUGUCCCCAUAUUUGAGAAUCAUGAUGAAGUGCUACAGUUGGGAUAAGCAAUUCAACAUUUGCAGGAACUUGGACUGCUCCCAGUUUUACUUCUCUUGGAACUAUCCUUCCGAUCAAAUUAACAGGAGGAUAUAACCUUAGAGUCUCAUUAAUAAUCAUGCUCAUCUGCAUGCAUCAAAAUAUAAAAAGAUAAGAGAUGAAACUGAGAUUAGUAAACUAACUUAGUUGCAGAUGCCCGUCAAUUAGACGAUCAUAUAUGUGUGUGCGUGUGUUUGUGUGUGUUUAUAUCUAUUUUUCAAUUGAGAUAGUGAUGUUCUUACUGUUUUGAGUUUGGAAAUGCCAUCAGAAUUUGGAGUUUCUUUGCCAAAUAACUGCAACACCUCCUUUCUUGCUUCCUCUUGCCAUUCAGGAUGUUGUGCCAGAAGAAAAACAGUCCAAGAAAGCAAAGUACUAGUUGUCUCCUGUCCAACAAAGUAUAAUGCCUUGCACUCUUCAACCACAUUGUCUAUCGAAAAUUUCUGGUCGUCAUUGAUGUCAUGAUGAGACUUCAAAAGUAAGCCAAGAAAAUCACUCCCAAAGCUCUCUCCUUCCCCGCUGCUUGCCUUCUGUUCUCUUUUCUUAACAAUCUCCAUUACAGAGUCUUGUAUUUCUUUCUCAAGCUUGUCUGCUUCAAUCUCACCGCUGGUUCUAUAAACCUUGCUGCUAUUUUGAAUGAGAAGCAACAUGCAUCAACCAAUUAAUCAAUAUUCAAUAGCUAAAAGAGAAAGAUCGAUUCUGGGAAGCUACCUGAUUCCAGGAAACCUGGUCUUGUACUUGUAAAGAUUUUUGAAUACUAUGAUGCUUAAAUUCUUCAACAUUUCAAAAAUGUUUUGUCCUUCUAAGUAGCUGCUGCCAAACGCUGUCCUGGCAAUCACUUCUGAAGUCAACAAUCUAAAUUCCUCAAACACAUCAGUCUCUUUUCCUUCAUGAUUUUUCCACCUUUCUAUCAUCGCCUCUGCACUAGCUGUCAUGUCUGGAAACAUAGCCUUGUAACAAAAUACCAUCAUACAACUAUUAAGUUUAAUAUUCUUGUUUUAGGAGAAUUUUAGAAAUAACUGUGUUUUUUUGAAACUUUCUUGAACUAAAACAUAUUGAUUUUUUUUUCAAUUAAAACUAAAACUGAAACAUAUUGAUUGAAGGACCUAAAUAAGUAUAUAUGGAACAGUCCUAGUCUAACCCAUGAUCUCCACGAUCAUAAUUUGAGAAGUAACAAACAGCCACAGGUCCAGAACUCAUGGUAUCUAAACAUAUUGCAGUAAGAAAGUAAGAAACAACUAUGAAGAGUAACUUACUUUUAAGCUCUCUCCAUGGAAGGCAUGGUUGGCCAGCUUUCUCAAAUUGGCCCAUUUUUCAUCUUCUGUCAUGGCAAGGCUAUCUCCAAAUAGCUUCUUCACAAUGUCACUAGGCUUUGGUUUUGGAAAAGCUCCAUCUUUGUUAUUGAAAAUCUCUUUGCAUGACUCAGGUUCUGUAACAACCAAAACUGGUUGAACACCAUACCACAUAAGAAAGUUCU